GCCUCCUUAGCUUAGUCGGUAGAGCAUCCGCUUUGUAAGCGGAAGGUCGCCGGUUCGAUUCCGGCAGAAGGCU
rfam:Eimeria maxima Weybridge genomic scaffold, Emw_scaff2693